CCUACGGGUGGCUGCAGUGAGGAAUAUUGGUCAAUGGACGCAAGUCUGAACCAGCCAAGCCGCGUGAAGGAAGACUGCUCUAUGAGUUGUAAACUGCUUUUGUACGAGGGGAAUAGCUGAUACGCGUAUCUGUCUGACAGUAUCUUGCGAAUAAGGAUCGGCUAACUCCGUGCCAGCAGCCGCGGUAAUACGGAGGAUUCAAGCGUUAUCCGGAUUUAUUUGGUUUAAAGGGUGCGUAGGCGGUCGGAUAAGGUAGAGGUGAAAUCACGGGGCUUAACUUCGGAAUUGCCUCUGAUACUGUUCGACUAGAGAGUAGAUGCGGUAGGCGGAAUGAAUGGAGUAGCGGUGAAAUGCUUAGAGAUCAUACAGAACACCGAUUGCGAAGGCAGCUUACCAGGCUACUUCUGACGUUGAGGCACGAGAGCGUGGGGAGCAAACAGGAUUAGAUACCCUAGUAGUC
rnacentral:rRNA from 1 species